AUGGGAUCGUCGAGGAGGUCGCGGCUCGCCCGGAGAGCGGCACCAGCGUCGAGGAUCAGGUAUGGCACGCUGUCCAUGUUGCUGCCUUUUCGCCGCGCGUGCGCUCUUUCGCCUUGCGCGCGACCUGGGCGUGCCCUGGUGCGCGCUCCGGGCCGACUGACGUUCUUUCUCGGCGUAGUUGUUGCGCAUGUUCGCCAUGUUCCGCGACGACAACAGCGACGCGACUUCAAGUACCUCCACGUCUUCAAGCGGAUCGACAAGUGCGAAAAAUGGGAGGCCGUCCAACGCACCCUCGCCAAGGCCAAAGAGACGUGCAAGCCGGACGCGCCGACAGUGGGCGCGGCCGAUGGACGCCCGGACGGCAACAAAGGUGCCAAGAAGGCGAAAUACACCGAGACAGCUGCCGUGCGCGUGCAAGUGUCCAUCGAGCACUGCAUCGCCGACGCCACAACCAGGGCUGCCGAGCGAGAGGAGAAAACAUAG
rnacentral:rRNA from 1 species